GACCCCAGGUCAGACGGGAUUACCCGCUUAAUUUAAGCAUAUCAAUUA
rnacentral:rRNA from 1 species